UAUGGGUCCACUAUUUUUGGAGUUGGGAAUCCCUCCUCAGGUAUCAAGUGCAACAGCCACUUUUGCAAUGACUUUCUCCUCAUCCAUGUCUGUUGUAGAAUACUACCUUCUGAAACGUUUUCCAGUUCCUUAUGCUCUUUACUUUGUAGCUGUGGCUACACUUGCUGCCUUAAUAGGGCAGCACAUUGUGAGAAGGUUGAUCAUUAUGUUUGGAAGGGCAUCGCUUAUCAUCUUCAUCCUAGCUUUCACCAUAUUUGUUAGUGCAAUUUCACUAGGUGGUGUUGGCAUAUCGAACAUGAUCAGGAAGAUACAGCAUAACGAAUACAUGGGAUUUGAGAACCUCUGCAAAUAUGAGGGCUAGAGGUAGCAUUUUUCAUUAAAAUUUUGUCAUGUUAUUCGGUGUUCAAGGUUCCCAGAUGCUGUAAUAUUUGUUGACGCUACUGCAAGUUCUUGGACUUGGGGUGGUGGGAGGAAAGGAUGAUCACCAACUGAUUUUAAUAUUCUUCUUAGAACUUACUGUAUACACUUUCACUUCAUACUUAGGAUAAGGAGACAAGGCGCACUGGAUUUUUUUUUUUU
rnacentral:misc_RNA from 1 species